UAUUUACAUAUAUUUAAAUUUUUAGAAGCAUAUUUAUGUUUAAAAAAAAAAUUAUAAUAGAACAUGUGAUAGCUCUUGCCAUGAGCCAUGACUCAAUAGUAGCAAAAAGUCCCAAGUUCCAAAUCUCUAAUCACCAAACAUAGGAUAGUGUAGAAAUCUCUUUUUAACAUUAAUAAAGGCAAAGCAUCUAUUCCUGGAAUAUCCCCUCUCUCUUUCUCUCCCUAGCCGGUCUCGCUCUUCUCGAACCAAUCCUGGAAA
rnacentral:lncRNA from 1 species